rnacentral:rRNA from 1 species
UACAGAGGUUGCAAGCGUUGUUCGGAAUUAUUGGGCGUAAAGCGCGUGUAGGCGGGAUGAUAAGUCGCGUGUGAAAUCCCUCGGCUCAACCGAGGAAGUGCGCGCGAAACUGUCAUUCUUGAGUGCCGGAGAGGGUGGCGGAAUUCCCGGUGUAGAGGUGAAAUUCGUAGAUAUCGGGAGGAACACCAGUGGCGAAGGCGGCCACCUGGGCGGACACUGACGCUGAGACGCGAAAGCGUGGGGAGCAAACAGGGAUUAGAUACCCUGGUAGUCCACGCCGUAAACGAUGGGUGCUAGGUGUUGCGGGUGUUGACCCCUGCAGUGCCGUAGCUAACGCAUUAAGCACCCCGCCUGGGAAGUACGGUCGCAAGACUAAGACUC